rnacentral:rRNA from 1 species
GAUCAUGGCUCAGGACGAACGCUGGCGGCAUGCCUAACACAUGCAAGUCGAAUGGAGAUUAUUUCGAUAAUCUUAGUGGCGAACGGGUGAGUAAACGCGUGGGCAACCUGCCCUCUAGAUGGGGGACAACAUCCCAAAGGGGUGCUAAUACCGAAUGUGACAGCAAUCUCGCAUGAGGAUGCUGUGAAAGAUGGCCUCUAUUUAUAAGCUAU